AUUAAAGUAGCUUAACGACAAAGCUUGGCGCUGAAAAUGCCAGAUCAUAGGUUAAACCCCUUUCUUUAAUA
rnacentral:tRNA from 1 species